CUCCAAGACCCAAAACAGAACCAUGUGAGACCAUGUUUGGCUGAGGAAACACUAUGAACAUUAAAAUGAACUAUGGCAAGCCCUCUUACUGUCUGGAAUGUUUCCCAGACAGCCUCCUAAAAGAACAGGCAGUUCAAGACCAACCAGGAAGUCGAGCAUGAAUCCCCCUCAAGUUUUCCCAUGGUGAGACUGCCUGAAACCAAGCCAUUGUUGUGUGUCUGUGUGUACUGGUUAAUUAUUUAUAGCUAGACCUUCAUUGGGAAAUCUAAUCUGCAGGGCACAUGAGGUUACAUUCCCCAGAGUCUGUGUUCUUGUGGGUUUGUAUGUGUUUGUGUGUAUUUCAGGAAAUGGCUUCCUGAAGUCCAAAGCAGCUGAUUGGUCGGCCCCAUCGACGAUUGGAGCUCUGACCCCACCCUCUCGUCAGGGGAUACAGCUGUCUGCAAUUACCGACUCCUUCUGCAGCUUUAAAAGCCAUUGUUCCUUUGUUAGGAGAGAGAGCUUCUUGGGGGGAAGGGGAUGGCACCUUGGGAGUGCUUAGGCAAGAGGCCUGUGGGCAGACAUAUACCUGUAGUAUGUACACUGUCUAUGCUCACUAGGUAAGACCUGGGCGGACCGUCCCCUGUGUUUUGGUUAGCGGGCCAGGUGGCGCAAAGAAUAGGUAACCAUGGUCGACAGAGGAAGAACAAUGAUUCCAAGCACAAC